rnacentral:piRNA from 1 species
UGAGUCUAAGGAAAGAUUUCUGGUCUUCUG